GCCUCUCUGAUUACUGGUAAUGACCAUCAGGAAGUAGUUGUUGAUUUUGAAAACUCAGACUUUUUCUGCCUCUUUCUGAAAGGGAGGAAGCCCCUGUUACUUCUUUCUUAGACAAGCCAGCUUUCCUGAUGGAGGGACACACACAGAGAAAGGGUUGUUUAUGACAUGGCAGCAUGGGGAGAAGUGUAGAAACUGGAAUACUGCAGCAAUUUGAAGAAGCGAGAGCAAAGGAAGAACAGGGGACUCACUGCAAAACCUUCCUAGGAUGUGCAGGGACUGGCAAUCUUCCAUCAAUCCUAUUUGUUUGGGUGGCAUUGAUACAGAGUAAUCCCAGAGACAACAUUGAAAUAACAUCCCACUGGCGUUGUGAAAGGGACAAUUGAACUAAGUAAGAAUUACGCCAACUUCUGUUCAUUGAUCAUCCACUGAUUCAAUACACUCAGCAGUCUUGCUAAGUGAAGAAACAUUUCUGUGAAGAGGCUAAUUUAUUUAGAGAGUUUGUGACCUGAUUUUUGCUUACUUAAUUUAAAUCUUUAUCAAUCCAGCUCAAAGGGGACACACUAAUGGAGACAAAACAUUAAAACUCUGAAUUCAUAAUGGAAGUUAUCCCAUCAAAACAUUUGUUAGGAACAUGCAUCUGAAAUCCCUUUCACUGAUGGACCAAGAUCAGAGAAGACAUUCAGGACUCCAGUUUCACUUCAAACUAGGAACUAUCUUUUCUGAAAUUAAAACAAAAAAUACUUGUUUUUCUUUGAAAUGAAAUUAGGUCAAACACUAGAAACACUCUGAAAAGUGGAAAGUUAUUAUUAUUUUUUUUACCCAUUUUUAAUUUAGUUGCCAUUUCACACUGCAUGCAAACAGAAGACUUCUUCCUACCCCCAAAUCCUGCAGUGCCUAGCUGUGCCCAUGCAACUACCAGCAACUAGUGUUUUGAUGAUGAUGCAUGAAGAACAAUCCAGCUUGCUCUCCUACAUCACUUUGAAAAGCCAGGACAGUAAACCAAGUAAAUCUGCUGCUCUGGAGCUGUGCAGGCAUACUCAGUUAGGCAAAUGGAAUUUGUGAUUAUAUUAAUGCCUCCUUGCGUGAAGGUCAAGUUGACUGUUCAGUUCAUUGUUUGUUAAUCAAGUUUGCAAUUGGUGAUCUGGUUAGACCAACAGGUGCUUUUAGAUAAGAACGGUCAUACUAGGUCAGAUCAAUGGCCCAUCUAGCCCAGUAUCCUGUCUUCCGACAGUGGGUAGUGUCAGAUGAUUCAAAGAGAAUGUACAGAACAGGGCAACUAACAAGUGGUCCAUCCCUUGUCGUCCAGUCCCAUCAUUUGGCUCUCAGAGGCUUAGGGACACUCAGAUCAUGAGUUGCAUCCCUGACCAUCUUGGCUAAUAGCCAUUAAUGGACCUUUCCUGCAUGAACUUAUCUAAUUCUUUUUUG